rnacentral:rRNA from 1 species
ACGGAAGGCGCAGUGAGGAAUAUUGGUCAAUGGGCGGAAGCCUGAACCAGCCAUGUCGCGUGCAGGACUACGGCCCUACGGGUCUUAAACUGCUUUUGCAAGGGGAUAAAGUGGGGCACGCGUGCCCCUUUGCAGGUACCUUGCGAAUAAGGAUCGGCUAACUCCGUGCCAGCAGCCGCGGUAAUACGGAGGAUCCGAGCGUUAUCCGGAUUUAUUGGGUUUAAAGGGUGCGUAGGCGGGCUGUUAAGUCAGCGGUGAAACCCGCGGGCUCAACCCGGGGACUGCCAUUGAAACUGGCGGCCUUGAGUACGUUGGGAGUGCGCGGAAUGUGUGGUGUAGCGGUGAAAUGCAUAGAUAUCACACAGAACGCCGAUCGCGGAGGCAGCGCACUAAGCCGCAACUGACGCUGAGGCACGAAGGCGCGGGGAUCGAACAGGAUUAGAUACCCUGGUA